rnacentral:rRNA from 1 species
AUGCCGUCGGUUCAAAGGCUGACCGUUCAUAUGCCUGGCAUGAAUACUGUCUACUAUCGUGCUGGUGCUGACCUCACGAAAAUUGUUGAUUCUGACUUCUUGCGAAAGACUAUGCUUACCGAAUGGUUUGUUGCAAAUGAGAUGUUCGAAGAUGCCCGAUCAUUAACUUAUUGCGAUUUUCCAUCUGCUUGGACCUGGGACGCUAAAAGUAGGUCAUGGCAUCCAAGGGGUAGGGGUGAAAAGAUUGGCCGCGUAUAUUAUGUACAUCCUUUGAGUGGUGAGUUGUAUUACUUGCGCAUGCUUUUGAUGAUUGUUAAGGGGGCUAGGUCAUUCGAAGAUCUCCGAACAUAUGUUGCUCGUCUUUAUCACACCUUUAAAGAAGCUUGUGCCGCGCAUGGUUUGUUAGGAGACGAUAACGAGUGGUACAUAGAGUUUGAUGAAGCGGUUGUCUGGGGGUUUGGGCAUUGA